UACAUUGAAAGGAUUUAUGUGCAAAUCAUUGCAGGUUGAUUGAAAUUUCAUUAUUGAUUUUGUUAUUUAUUAGGAAGGUAUUAAAAAUAAUUAUAAUAACUUAGGUUUUAGUACCGUCUAGGGAAAAAAUAUUUUAAAUUAUAGUGAAUUAGUAUUGUAAAAGACCUGUGAAAUAUGUGAAAAAUUUUCAGUUAAAAAGAAGGCUUAGAUUGCCGUACCUUGUGUAUCAGGGUUUUUCUAUUAAAUUCUAAAAUUUUAGGUUUCCCGAUUUCAAAAGAGUUAGGAAGAUAUAAAAGUUAUUGUAGCAUAACUAUUUUAAAUAUCUUGCUAGAGGCGAAACACUAUUCGAUUUUGAAGGUAUCUGGUUUUCUUAGAAAUAAAUUGAAUUUAUACUUUUUAAAAAUAGCCAUCUACUUCGGCAGUAGGCUGAUUUUUAAAGUAAAUGAUUGAGGGGACAAGCUCUCAACCAUAGUAUUAAAAGUAAUUAAUAAAUUAGGGAAAGAUAUGCUUAGAAUUAGCAAUUCUUAAAGAUGCUGUUAUAAGCCAUCCCACAAAGAAAUUAUUUAUUGGACUUUAAGUUUCUAUAAGAAUGUUUUCUAUAACUAUAAAAGAAAGGUAAUCAUGAAAAAAUUAGUAUAUCGGUGUGUACAAAUAAAGUUAAAUGAAAAGUUUAUGUAAAGAACUCGGCAAAUCUAAUAUUCGCCUGUUUAACAAAAACAUGUCUUUUUGUAUUUAAUAUAAAGUCUAACCUGCCCACUGAGUUUUAAAUGGCCGCAGUACACUGACUGUGCAAAGGUAGCAUAAUAAUUAGUCUUUUAAUUGAAGGCUGGAAUGAAUGGUUGGACGAAAUAUUGACUGUUUCAUUUAAAUUUUUUAUAGAAUUUUAUUUUUUAGUCAAAAAGCUAAAAUCUUGUUAAAAGACGAGAAGACCCUAUAAAGCUUUAUAUCUAUCUAUUGGCUGAUUUAUAAGAUUAGUUUUCUUAGGCAAUAGAUAGCUAUUUUAUUGGGGUGAUAUUAAAAUUUAAAAAACUUUUAAUUUUUAAAAACAUUAAUUUAUGGACAAUUGAUCCACUUGUUGUGAUUAGAAGAAUAAGUUACUUUAGGGAUAACAGCGUAAUUUUUUUGGAGAGUUCUUAUCGAUAAAAAAGAUUGCGACCUCGAUGUUGGAUUAAGAGAUACUUUUAGGUGUAGCCGCUUAAAGGGUAAGUCUGUUCGACUUUUAAAUUCUUACAUGAUCUGAGUUCA
rnacentral:rRNA from 1 species